UCCCGAGGUACCAGAGCUGGGGGUUGGCGACGGCCGCCAGGGUCGGCGCGAGGGCGCCCAUGGCGUCCUCACCGAGGAUCAUGUCCUCGUCCAGGAU
rnacentral:tRNA from 1 species